AGUGGGUGUAGCGUACCUACUAGCCUACGACGGGUACGGGUUGUGAGAGCAGGAGCCCGGAGAUGGAUUCUGAGACACGAAUCCAGGCCCUACGGGGUGCAGCAGGCGCGAAAACUUUACAAUGCUGGCAACAGCGAUAAGGGAACCUCGAGUGCCAGGUUACAAAUCUGGCUGUCGAGAUGCCUAAAAAGCAUUUCAUAGCAAGGGCCGGGCAAGACCGGUGCCAGCCGCCGCGGUAACACCGGCGGCUCGAGUGGUAACCGUUAUUAUUGGGUCUAAAGGGUCUGUAGCCGGCCGGAUAAGUCUCUUGAGAAAUCUGGCAGCUUAACUGUCAGGCUUUCAGGAGAUACUGUCUGGCUCGAGGCCGGGAGAGGUGAGAGGUACUUCAGGGGUAGGGGUGAAAUCUUGUAAUCCUUGAAGGACCACCAGUGGCGAAGGCGUCUCACCAGAACGGACCUGACGGCAAGGGACGAAAGCUAGGGGCACGAACCGGAUUAGAU
rnacentral:rRNA from 1 species